rnacentral:snRNA from 1 species
GUUAUACACAAUAAAACAAAUUU